CCAGACUCCUACGGGAGGCAGCAGUGGGGAAUAUUGGGCAAUGGGCGCAAGCCUGACCCAGCAACGCCGCGUGAAGGAAGAAGGCUUUCGGGUUGUAAACUUCUUUUGUCAGGGACGAAGCAAGUGACGGUACCUGACGAAUAAGCCACGGCUAACUACGUGCCAGCAGCCGCGGUAAUACGUAGGUGGCAAGCGUUAUCCGGAUUUACUGGGUGUAAAGGGCGUGUAGGCGGGGGAGCAAGUCAGAUGUGAAAACCACGGGCUCAACCUGUGGCCUGCAUUUGAAACUGUUUUUCUUGAGUGCUGGAGAGGCAAUCGGAAUUCCGUGUGUAGCGGUGAAAUGCGUAGAUAUUAGGAGGAACGCCAGUGGCGAAGGCGGUCUGCUGGACAGCAACUGACGCUGGGGCGCGAAAGCGUGGGGAGCAAACAGGAUUAGAUACCCGGGUA
rnacentral:rRNA from 1 species